CGAGGAUAUUAUGGUGCUGAGUGUCAACAAGAAUGUAGACACUGCCGUGACUUUACUCAGUGCUUCCACACCAACGGGUCAUGCUUAACUGGGUGUGAAGCUGGUUAUCAUGGACAAAAAUGUGAAGCACCUUGCCCAUAUGGAUUGUUUGGACCGGAUUGUCUAGAAAAAUGUAACUGCACAUGUGAUGGUUGUAACAGAUUCAAUGGUUCCUGUGAUUCUGGGCGGCAGGGAUACGAGUGUCAAGAUGUUAAUGUCGCCCUCAACAAACCAGCGUACCUACAGUACCCUGUACCAAAUGACAGACGUGACGCCAGAUUUGACGCCAGUAACGCUGUAGACGGACGUAAAUCAGACCUGGGACGGAAUGGAGGUCAAUGUGCUACAUCAAAUAAUAGACAAACCGCCACCUGGUGGGUAAAUCUGACCACCAUCCACAGCAUCCACCACAUUACCAUUUACUUCAGG